rnacentral:rRNA from 1 species
CAGAUUCCCCCAGUAGCGGCGAGCGAACGGGGAGCAGCCCAGAGCCUGAAUCAGUGUGUGUGUUAGUGGAAGCGUCUGGAAAGGCGUGCGAUACAGGGUGACAGCCCCGUACACAAAAAUGCACAUAUUGUGAGCUCGAUGAGUAGGGCGGGACACGUGGUAUCCUGUCUGAAUAUGGGGGGACCAUCCUCCAAGGCUAAAUACUCCUGACUGACCGAUAGUGAACCAGUACCGUGAGGGAAAGGCGAAAAGAA